UGGCCUUGACAUCCAGAGAACUUUCCAGAGAUGGAUUGGUGCCUUCGGGAACUCUGAGAC
rnacentral:rRNA from 1 species